AAGAAGAUUUUGUCAGCACGAACGUCAGUUUGUUUGUGUUUUGUUUUGUUUGUCUUUUCUUGUGUUUUGGGGUCCCAUAUUAUUAUGCCUUUUGACCGUAUAUAUUUUAUUUUUAUUUUUGUCUUGUGACUUUUCUGAUUGAUGUUUAUCAUAUGACAAUGGAACCUUUAAAUCAAUCCUUGGUUUGAUAAUGGCGCAAGCCGAAACAUGUAACCGGAUGAUUUGAAUACAAGGUUCCACCACUGAAGUGCUUUAUAGACUUUUUUCUUUUUCCUCUU